rnacentral:rRNA from 1 species
AGAAUCAACGCUGGCGGCGUGCCUAACACAUGCAAGUCGCACGAGAAAGGGGAGCAAUCCCUGAGUACAGUGGCGCACGGGUGAGUAACACGUGAAUAAUCUACCUCCGAGUGGGGAAUAACUGAGAGAAAUCUUAGCUAAUACCGCAUAACACUUACGAGUCAAAGCAGCAAUGCGCUUGGAGAGGAGUUCGCGGCCGAUUAGUUAGUUGGCGGGGUAAUGGCCCACAAGACGAUGAUCGGUA